rnacentral:rRNA from 1 species
CACGUAGGGGCGAGCGUUGUCCGGAAUUACUGGGCGUAAAGGGCGCGCAGGCUGUUAUGCGAGUCUGCUGUGAAAUGUACCGGCUCAACCGGUGCCUUGCGGCGGAUACUGCAUAGCUGGAGUACUGGAGAGGGAAGUGGAAUUCCCGGUGUAGCGGUGAAAUGCGUAGAUAUCAUCAGGAACACCGGUGGCGAAAGCGGCUUACUGGGUCUCUUCUGACGCUGAGGCACGAAAGCUAGGGUAGCGAACGUGAUUAGAUA